rnacentral:rRNA from 1 species
GACGAACGCUGGCGGCGUGCCUAAUACAUGCAAGUCGAGCGGACCGACGGGAGCUUGCUCCCUUAGGUCAGCGGCGGACGGGUGAGUAACACGUGGGUAACCUGCCUGUAAGACUGGGAUAACUCCGGGAAACCGGGGCUAAUACCGGAUGCUUGAUUGAACCGCAUGGUUCCAAUCAUAAAAGGUGGCUUUUAGCUACCACUUACAGAUGGACCCGCGGCGCAUUAGCUAGUUGGUGAGGUAACGGCUCACCAAGGCGACGAUGCGUAGCCGACCUGAGAGGGUGAUCGGCCACACUGGGACUGAGACACGGCCCAGACUCCUACGGGAGGCAGCAGUAGGGAAUCUUCCGCAAUGGACGAAAGUCUGACGGAGCAACGCCGCGUGAGUGAUGACGGUUUUCGGAUCGUAAAACUCUGUUGUUAGGGAAGAACAAGUACCGUUCGAAUAGGGCGGCACCUUGACGGUACCUAACCAGAAAGCCACGGCUAACUACGUGCCAGCAGCCGCGGUAAUACGUAGGUGGCAAGCGUUGUCCGGAAUUAUUGGGCGUAAAGCGCGCGCAGGCGGUUUCUUAAGUCUGAUGUGAAAGCCCCCGGCUCAACCGGGGAGGGUCAUUGGAAACUGGGGAACUUGAGUGCAGAAGAGGAGAGUGGAAUUCCACGUGUAGCGGUGAAAUGCGUAGAGAUGUGGAGGACACCAGUGGCGAAGGCGACU